rnacentral:rRNA from 1 species
UACGUAGGGUGCGAGCGUUGUCCGGAAUUACUGGGCGUAAAGAGCUCGUAGGUGGUUUGUCGCGUUGUUCGUGAAAACUCACAGCUCAACUGUGGGCGUGCGGGCGAUACGGGGCAGACUGGAGUACUGCAGGGGGAGACUGGAAUUCCUGGUGUAGCGGUGGAAUGCGCAGAUAUCAGGAGGAACACCCGUGGCGAAGGC